UACGAAGGGUGCAAGCGUUACUCGGAAUUACUGGGCGUAAAGCGUGCGUAGGUGGUUCGUUAAGUCUGAUGUGAAAGCCCUGGGCUCAACCUGGGAAUGGCAUUGGAAACUGGCGAUCUAGAGUGCGGUAGAGGGUAGUGGAAUUCCCGGUGUAGCAGUGAAAUGCGUAGAGAUCGGGAGGAACAUCUGUGGCGAAGGCGGUUGCCUGGAGCUUUGCUGACGCUGAGGCGCGAAAGCGUGGGGAGCGAUCCGG
rnacentral:rRNA from 1 species